rnacentral:rRNA from 1 species
UACGUAGGGGGCAAGCGUUAUCCGGAUUUACUGGGUGUAAAGGGAGCGUAGACGGCAGAGCAAGUCUGGAGUGAAAGCCCGCGGCCCAACUGCGGGACUGCUUUGGAAACUGCCCGGCUAGAGUGCUGGAGAGGUAAGCGGAAUUCCUAGUGUAGCGGUGAAAUGCGUAGAUAUUAGGAGGAACACCAGUGGCGAAGGCGGCUUACUGGACAGUAACUGACGUUGAGGCUCGAAAGCGUGGGGAGCAAACAGG